rnacentral:tRNA from 1 species
GGAUUUGUGCUUGAAAAAAGGCUACUUUGAUAAAGUAUAUAUGAGGGUUAAAGCCCCUCCAACUCCU